UUAAUGUUUUCUUUUUCUUUUUUCUCUUUGCUUGCCUAACUUUGCUGCUUAAAAUGAGAGUGAGGUCUGUAAGCAACCCUACUUUUCUGCUGAGGACUAGAAGUGACUACGCAUAGAAACAAGGUGUGGGGAGAAAGAAUAAGCACAGGGCUCCUUUGUCUGCUGAAUAUCCCACUCUGGCUCCAGAUUUCUAACCUACAGCCAUAUCUCUCAGGAAGAUAAGCCUGGACAUAAAGAAGAGAAAGGAAAAAAAUCACACAAGACCCUGAAAAGGAAGCAAAGACAGUAAUACAGAGGGUGGUAGGGGUAUCUGGGUGGCUCAGUUGAGUAAGCAUCUGACUUUGGCUCAGGUCAUGGUCUCAGGGUCCUGGGAUUGAGCCCUAACAUUGGGCUCCAUGCUCAGUGUGGAGCCUACUUAGGAUUCUCUCUCUCCCCCAAUCCUU
rnacentral:lncRNA from 1 species